GAUGAACGCUAGCUACAGGCUUAACACAUGCAAGUCGAGGGGUAACGAGAGGAAAGCUUGCUUUCCUUGUCGACGACCGGCGCACGGGUGAGUAACGCGUAUCCAACCUGCCCCCAACUAGGGAAUAACCUUGCGAAAGUAAGACUAAUACCCUAUAAUUUCCUCAGAUGACAUCUGACGAGGAAUAAAGAUUUAUCGGUUGUGGAUGGGGAUGCGUCUGAUUAGCUUGUUGGCGGGGUAACGGCCCACCAAGGCAACGAUCAGUAGGGGUUCUGAGAGGAAGGUCCCCCACAUUGGAACUGAGACACGGUCCAAACUCCUAUGGGAGGCAGCAGUGAGGAAUAUUGGUCAAUGGGCGGAAGCCUGAACCAGCCAAGUAGCGUGCAGGAUGACGGCCCUAUGGGUUGUAAACUGCUUUUAUACAGGAAUAAAGUUAGCCACGUGUGGUUAUUUGUAGGUACUGUAUGAAUAAGGACCGGCUAAUUCCGUGCCAGCAGCCGCUUAGA
rnacentral:rRNA from 1 species